rnacentral:sRNA from 14 species
GCAAUAGGCGUCUAGGGUUCCGUCCGCAGGCAUGCGGAGCCUGGUCCGAGAGUCGCCGACCUCUCCCAGAGGGGGGUUACACGGAGGGACAAAAGCCCGGGAGAU